GGGAUUUAUUUUAUUCAUUCUGGGGGCUUUCACAGCUUUAUGGCUGUUGGAUAUUUAUGUCCCCAAACUUGCAGCAAGUUUGGUGAAGGCCCCUAAAUUUAUUUUAAUUUAGGUUUUUUAUUCUCUUUUGGUAGAUGGGCUCUAUAUUAAUAUUUAUCUUUUUAUUAUCACUGUGUUUUUAAGAGUCUUAAGGGGAGGGAACCUAUUUUAAGAUGUGUGGGUACCUUUUCUCUUAAUAGAAUGCAUUUCCUUCGAGGCUGCUCAGGUAGUCCUUAAGCCACACUGCCCCUCCCCAUCUUUCCCUGCAUUGCAUUUGUGCUGUAUUUGUUUUUGGGUUUGGUAGUGUUGAUUUUGUGUAGUCUCUGAAUUAAUGGCAUGUAAAUAUCAAUUAAUAAUGCUUUCUCUUCUGAGGAGAUGUAGCUAUUGAAAAGGUUAAAAUAGGCUUGAACUAGAAAGUUAAUUGCUACAAAAUUGUGUAGCCCACAGAAUACAGUUUAUUUGAAGAAGGUUGAGAUGUUAAUACUGCUGUGUGAGCUGCACCUCAGCAAAUAUUAAUGUAGAGCCCUGUGAAGAAAUAGAGAUCAGAUCCGAUUUGGUAAUACAGAAUAGAACAGUGAGAAAUCAAAGCUGCAGAUUUUUCAGUUUGCCAGUUAGAGGGAGAACUUUUAACUUUUCCUCAAUCUCUCAAAUACACCAAAUUUGACUAUUGCAACAGUAGUAAGAGUUGAAAAUAUUUUUUUUGAAACUUUGGAAAAUUCUGUUGCAUAUUCAAAAUUUGCUUUAUUUGAAAUUCCUUCUUUCACACAGUGACUAGCAAAAAUUUCUACCCUUUGUGAGGAAAAAGGUGCCCAUUCUGUUGCAUAUUCGUCAGUUGUGAAUGCUUGAGGUUGCUUAAAGACAACUUCAGCUUCAGAACAGCAGGUUUUACACAAAGAGGUCUUGCAGCAUAUCAGCAGUGAAAUAGUAAAUAAACAAAUGUGUGAGUCUGUUUUGACCUUUUUCUUUUUAAGUUUCUGAGAUUAAACUUUUAAAGUUUGUGGUGAGGCUUUUUUAUGAGCAUAGACUCUUUUCUUCAAGAUUUUGCUAAAUAAUGACCUCUAAUGGGAUUUCAAGUAAUUUUCAUUAAAGGAUGGAGUUGUAAUUAACUUAAAAGAGUGGAUUGCACAUUGCUGUUGUACCCUUCUUUGUUUGUAUUCUGCCCUUUGCAUUUUUCCUAUAGAAGAUCUCCCCAAAAUCCCUGUCUGGAAAACUGACAUGUCCAUGUUAACUGUUUCAGAAUGAUUAUUGAGCAUGGUCUUGCUUUGCUAAACCUUAUUAUGGUGCUCCCCUGAUAACAGUGAAGAUGAGAACAGCUCUUUAAGAUAGUCAAAUGCUCCUAUAAGUUAAGCAAGUGGAAGAAAUACUAGUUGCAGUAGUCUUAAGUUCUUAUUUCCCUAGAAUGUCUAAGGAAACUGUUUAACCCAAAAUGAUACAUAGUGGAGCUUGUAUUUCUUGCUUUAAGUAUCUGAAUCUCUUACAAUCUCAAAAUAAAAAAUAGGCAAAUUUCAAAUACCUGUUUAUUUUGAGGGAUGAAGCAUGUUCUUAGUUACAUUCCAGUAUUGCAGCUCUCAUUGCUGCAGUUUGUAUAUCACAAAGCUGUACAUCUUUUUGUUAGGGAAAUGUCUUUAGUCAAGGUGACUUUAUUUCAGUGGCAUGACUUUUAUAGAUAUUAACAAAAUGAGGUCUUGGAGUUCAGUUUUUUUAAGCUUAAGUAGGAGCGCAUAACUUUUAAAGAGGAGGGGUUAGUGAUACUCUGCUAAAUGGAGUCAAUUUGUGCCUGAUCUAUUAAACAAGAAAAGUAACUUGGAGAUGUGAUAAAGAAAUUACAUACCACGCACGAAGAACUUUUAAAAAAAUCUGUAUGCUUGCAAUCAAAACAAUCAAACCAGGGAAACAGUGGUAGUGACUGGGUUCUGUAAAAAUGUAGCUGCCUGUGACUGCUCUUUGUCAUGGUUGGGCUAGGUUGGAAGUAGUUGAGAGGAAAGAAAGCUUUGGGACAGCUGUUUAAGAGAUCAAGAUGAAUCAAAGUGUUUGUAAAGUGUAAUGUAUAUAAAGGUUCUUUCUGAAGUUCUGAAAAGCACUUGGUGAGAGGUUUCUGGCACACUCUAAGCAGCAGCUCAGUGCAGUCUUGAUUGCCAGAGCACAGAUUUGCAGUAAGGCUCUAACCACAGUAAGGUUAAAAGAAAUGCAGUUUUACUGCAGUCUCUGGAGGUGUGGCUGAGGGGGCUGAGCACUGGAGCCUGCUGCUUUGGCAGCCAGCCAUAUCCUGUCCUGGACCACAGGAUCCAGGGUGUUCUCCUCAAGCCAUUUGUUCCUGGCAUCCUGCUGAGUCAGUUUUGACUGUCCCUGGUAUGAAUAAUGGUGAGAUUUGGUAUUUAUAUACCCGGACACUGUUGUGAAUAGUGAGGCCCUUGCACCUUCUGAACAAGUUUACAGUAACCUUAAAUUCUUACAGGCUUUCUUGCAGUAGGGACAGUCAGCAACGCUGCUGUUUUAAUGGCAGUGAAUUUGACUUUGCAGAAAUACUGUCUUUAACUUACUUACCUUAAGGUUUUUCUUUCUUGAGGCUAUAAAGAAGUGAAAAAGCUUUAGAAAAUAGUAGAAUUUAAUGCCAAUAUAAUCUUAACUAGAAGAUGCACAUGACAUUGAGAGCUAGAAAACUUCCUUAUGAAUUCUCCUGUUAGCAGUUAGUGUGUCUCUCUGAUCGCUGUCUUAUACAAGGUUCAAGCUCCUGACAUCCUGAACUAUUUUUCCUUGAAUUUUGUCUAAAUCUCUACCAUAUUCCCAGGUGCCAUAUUCACAAAAAGGGGCACGAGUUGUAGAAUUUCAGCUUCUGCUACUCUUAGUAGCCAGUACGUAUAACUGGUUUUUGCUAACAGUAAUUUUAAUUAGUAGAAAUGAAUACAGUACAGCCAAAGGAGCUAUUUCACCAUCUCCUAACUUAGGAAGAUAUGUAAUGCUUUGAGGUAAAGAUGUAAUGCAGGGCUUUUUUCUUUUCUGUUUUUUUCAUUGAGUUACUUGCACUGAAUUCUCUAGCUUCUUUCUCAUAAAUUUAAGUGGGAAAAAACAUAUUUUGCUCUUUGACUUGUAAAGUGCAGAAUAAGAAAACACAUUUUAAGACUUUACUGAAGGAACCUGGCAAUGUAAGUAUUUUAAUUUCCUUUAUGUUUUUAGUAGGCAACAGGUGACCUUGUUAAACUUACGGAUUAUGUAUGAAAAAUCAGAAGGGCAAAUUGAAAGUAGUUUUAUAGUUGCCUUUACUUCACAUGCUUUUCUUAAGCAACAAAUUGCUGUAAUUGAAGUUUGGCAGCUCUUUUUUAUUUUUUUAUUUUUUAAUAAAAAGCUAAAUUAUGGGUUAAACACCUUGGUUUAAUACAAUUUGUGUUUCUGUUAACUAGCAGCAGAAUUUCAGCAUUUGCUACUUACUGGUAGAGAAGAAAAAUUCCACAGAACUGCCAGUACAGCAUUCAGUUUACAAAGAAGAUUAAAAGAAAAUACGGAGCUAACAUCAUUUGCAUCCACUGGGAACCUUCUCUGAACUGUUCUUCAGGAAUGGGUCAUUGCACAUAUAGCCAUCUGUAAUGUGUGAUCAUUUUGUGACAGUCUGAUUAAACAGAAGUGAACCACUG